rnacentral:rRNA from 1 species
UACGAAGGGGGCUAGCGUUGUUCGGAAUUACUGGGCGUAAAGCGUGCGCAGGCGGCUUCUCAAGUCAGGGGUGAAAGCCCAGAGCUUAACUCUGGAAUUGCCUUUGAGACUGAGAGGCUUGAGUACGGGAGAGGUGAGUGGAAUUCCCAGUGUAGAGGUGAAAUUCGUAGAUAUUCGCAAGAACACCAGUGGCGAAGGUGGCUCACUGGCUCGAUACUGACGCUGAGGUGCGAAAGCGUGGGGAGCAAACAGG